rnacentral:misc_RNA from 1 species
AUGCUCAGCACCUGGGUCUUGA